rnacentral:rRNA from 1 species
GACGAACGCUGGCGGCGUGCCUAAUACAUGCAAGUCGAACGAGAGCGACCGGUGCUUGCACUGGUCAAUCUAGUGGCGAACGGGUGAGUAGCACGUGGGUAACCUGCCCAUCAGAGGGGGAUAACAUCCGGAAACGGAUGCUAAAACCGCAUAGGUCUUCGAACCGCAUGGUUUGAAGAGGAAAAGAGGCGCAAGCUUCUGCUGAUGGAUGGACCCGCGGUGCAUUAGCUAGUUGGUGAGGUAACGGCUCACCAAGGCCGUGAUGCAUAGCCGACCUGAGAGGGUGAUCGGCCACAUUGGGACUGAGACACGGCCCAAACUCCUACGGGAGGCAGCAGUAGGGAAUCUUCCGCAAUGGACGCAAGUCUGACGGAGCAACGCCGCGUGAGUGAAGAAGGUGUUCUGAUCGUAAAACUCUGUUGUUAGAGAAGAACAAGUGCUAGAGUAACUGUUAGCGCCUUGACGGUAUCUAACCAGAAAGCCACGGCUAACUACGUG